GUGGGUGUUUCUUCAGCAGAACUGGGCAAGCUUCGACGUUUCUUCGUCGGGAAGAGUGUCAACUCUGCUGGGUGCAUGUGGUGCACGUCCGAACAAGUGGCGCUAAUGCUGCGUGUCGAAUGAAUUCGGCUUUGAGGCCUCCAGCAGCGCUCUGUUUGUUGUUGUUGUUGUUGCUGCUCACUGUCUGGUUGGUGCCGACGUUCCCGUGCGAGCAGGACGAGUCGCUUGUCCGAAGACUUGGGUACGUGACAGAAAACGAUUGAUGCAAGGGCGAAAACUCGGUGUCUGUUCAUUGAGAGCAGGCGCUGGUAUCCUUUGGACGAAUACUUGGAAGCGGAGACACGUUUUCUCCAUAUUUACGGUUGGACACGGGCUUCGGUACCCACUAGGUUCGGGUGUCGACGUUGCCGGCCUUUCGUGUCUACACCUUGAACCUGCGCCCUGAGGUCAGCUGCUGGUGACACAAAGCCGCGACUACGCUCUGACAUGUUUCCCGGAACUGACCAUGAGUAGUACUGGUCGGAUAGCGUCUCCGCUAUGGAUACAGCACACUUUGCAGUGACCCAGUUCGUCCGCAAGCACCUUAUCAGUGCACGAUGAAGCGAUGUAUGCUGAAAGCAGCGUCGAACGAGGAUCAUAGUUUGAACGACCUCUCCAGAUACUUUAAAGAUGCUCCAGUUUGCUCCACAGCAAACACUGCACGGAAUCUGCUGCGCUCUAUCGCCGCGGAAAGGAACGCUUGCGGAUCGUUCGAACUCGCAAAUCUGUGCAUGUGGUGCUCUGUUCAUGUCAGUACGCAUGGGCUCGCUGCACUUGACGCACUGGAGCGAGACUUUGGAACCCGCACGACUCGUGAACUCGGGCUCAUCUUGUCGGAAAUGCGAACGAAUGACCGCGCAGCUCGGAGGCGAAACGCCCUUUCACGUAACACGUAGACAACAUGUCAUCAACAUGGGUACUGCGCACACGUACUCCCCAAACAUGCUAGACACGGUAUGGUAGGUCACUUCAGCGUCCAUCGCAUGAAACUUGCAACAAACAUGCUAGACACUGUAUAGUAGGUCACUUCAGCGUCCAUCGCAUGAUACACACGAUGCCUCACAAAGCGCAGUCCAGGUACUUUGCCAGCGCAGUGCACCAAAUCCGCGUCAAACCUGCAACCUCAGACGCUAGAAUUCAAAUGAAACUCUACGAGACGCCUUUUUUCAAAUCAAACAUAUCCGUAUUCGCGUACCACAGCGAGCACGGGGAGCGAAGCACAACCGAAGCAGACUGCACAGCACCAGGUAUGGACGUGAGACAUCACCGGUCCCGCAGCACCUCCACAGUCGCGAGCGUUCAAGAACAAGCUCAGGGAAACCGCAGCGUUCGUGCUUCCACGAACGUAACCUUGGAUUCCUCACUCAUCAACUUUAGCGAUGCCCGUUGUGCCGCACGCGUAACAGCAUACGCGCUCUGGUGGUCGCUCAUGCGCUCGGCUGUCGCCCGAUACUUUUCAUUCCAUACACGCGCGCAUAUGUCUGCCAACGUAUCCGCGUCGAUACAGGCGCCUCGUGUUGCACGCCCGUCACGAUAGCUCAUACACACACACACACGAGGCGUCUGCGUACCAGCACACGGGGUAUCCGACGCACACAGCGCUUCUAUAGCGUCGUUACCGAAACAGCCAGUGCAGUUACCGCGAGUUUGUGACCCUCGUACGUACGAAUGACAGAGCCGCUUGACAGGUCCCAGAGGCACGCUCGGCGAUCGCUUGAACAGCUGAAAAGAAACUCGCUGUUAUCGGAAAACACCAGAUCCCAUGCCCAUUUCUGGUGGCGUCCCAGCACCUGCGUCUGCUGCCAAGUGGCACCGACGCUCCGCUGUACGCCCCAGAGUCGGAUGAAACCAGAGUCCAGGGCCAUGGCCAACAUUUUUCCAUUUGGACUGAAGCUCGACUGGAGCACGUACCUGGUGUGUGCACUCCAAGUCGUUGAGGGUUGAAAGUCGACCGGUUCAGUGGCUGGUGUCCCAGGUCGCUGAACAACUCGCUGUCGGCUCGGGCUGCGGUUCCAGUGCUGCAUUUCGGUGAGGUCACUAUCUGAGCGGGUGAGUGGUAUCGGUGAAGCGUCACGCAAGCGCUCGAGCUCGUAAAACUCCGCGUCUGCUUCGCCGGUGCCGGUACCGGCUUGGCAUACACGCCAUACAUAGCAGGCGCCUUCAUGGUUACAGACCGACAGCAGACUACCGUCAGCAGCGAGGGCCAUGGUACUAAUCGGGACGUCGUCCUGUGGCUUCAGUUCACGAUUCAGACGAUUCGCGAUCAGAUCCCAUGUGCGUACAGUCCCCUGGCAGUCAGCGGAUAUCAGCUCCCUUUGCGAUGGAUGCAGACACACCGCCGUGACCCCAGCGCGGUUACAGAAUACGUGUGAACGCUUCCCUGACCGCGGAUCCCAGGUGCAAAUGGUACCAUCUUCAGACCCUGAAUAGAGCCAGCUUCCAAAAGCCUCGUACCCGACACUGACAACGUUGCCGCGAUGUCCCUCUAAGCCAAUGACUGGGCUAGCUACGUUGUUCAGGGCGUCGAAAACCACGAUCCGCGGGUUUGCAGCCACUGCAAGGAAGACCUUGUCUGGUGAAAACACCAGUCGGUUGAUGUGAGACUCGGGAAACUGAAUCGUGCGGAAGCAAACACCACUGGCAGCCUCCCAGAAUCGCACAGUAUGAUCGUAACCCCCGGUUGCGAGGAUGACUUUCUUGGACAUCAGUUCGUAGGCUCCGUCUACGGGCCCUUUGACUCGCUUCCGGGGUAAGUCCAGCUCUCUGUAAGCGUUCCAGCGAAAAAAUAUACGUAGCUUGCGAGGCUCGUCCCAAACGAUCGACCCCGAAGACUACGUUGCUUCGUUCAAAAGCAUACUUCGGUGGUUAUCCAGCCCCUUUAGCUGUGUGUGUGUAGUAUGUUUGAACGUCGCAACGCCUCGGCAGGUAUGCACCAGGAAAAGACGAGCAACGGAAACGCUUCGUUGUAUGGGACCGUGCGGAUGCUGCAAUGUGCACAUCGGCGCUCUCUUCCGAACACUCAUCUCUGGAUGGAAUAGAACGGUUUUGUCUGACGGACUUGAUUGCGUACAGUAAAGUUUGGG